rnacentral:rRNA from 1 species
AUUGAACGCUGGCGGCAGGCCUAACACAUGCAAGUCGAGCGGAGCGGCGGACGGGUGAGUAAUGCCUAGGAAUCUGCCUGGUAGUGGGGGAUAACGUCCGGAAACGGGCGCUAAUACCGCAUACUAUCAGAUGAGCCUAGGUCGGAUUAGCUGGUUGGUGGGGUAAAGGCCUACCGAGGCGACGAUCCGUAUCUGGUCUGAGGGGAGGAUCAGCCACACUGGAACUGAGACACGGUCCAGACUCCUACGGGAGGCAGCAGUGGGGAAUGUGGGACAAUGGGCGAAAGCCUGAUCCAGCCAUGCAGCGUGUGUGAAGAAGGUCUUCGGAUUGUAAAGAACUUUAAGUAGGGAUGCGGUACCUGCAGAAUAAGCACCGGCUAACUACGUGCCAGCCGCCGCGGUAAUAC